GGCAUUUUAAAUUUUUGAGGGAAACACAUGACAUUUGUCAGACACUGUGAACUACUAGCUCAAGAUUCUUCACAAUUUCAAUAAUAAAGCUACAUUUCUUUUGAUGAUGUCAUAUCUCUGUGAAGCUGGGCUUUCUGUACUUUCAGUGAUAAGAACAAGUAGCACGCUUGAUGGGAUGAGCACUGGGUGUUAUACUAUAAUGUUGGCAAAUUGAAUUAAAAAAAAGUACCACUUGAAAAUCAGCGUGGAGCAGGAAAUGAAGGUAGUGGUGUCCAAGGUUUGAUUCUACGGCUUGAGAAGUUGUUUGAAGACAUUAAGUUUGAGAAGGUGUGAGAAGCAGUGUAGGACCCAACAGACUUGUAACCAUGUGGUGAUCAUCAUUUUCAGAAGCCAAGUUACAGCAAUAACAAACUGGUGACCAUCUAGUGGAAAAAUCAAGAGGCCCAAUAUUCCCCUUCAGGGGCUUGCCAGUAUCCUCAAAAGACCUCUCUCUAAUACCAGG